rnacentral:lncRNA from 13 species
UUCUGAGAGAAAAAGGAAGGCAUAUUCUGGCCAGUAAUAAUUCAUCCCAACAAAAUUGAUUAUUUAUGCGAAGACACUGCUGGGAGCUGAAGGAAGGAGUCCAAAGAAAGUUUAACAGUUUCAAGACUAUCUUUAAUGUGGAGGAGACUGCUGUCGUCCAGGUGGUGGAAUGCUUGGUACGCUCCCUCCCCCGAGGAGCAAGGCCCUGGCUGAGCUCCGAAGCUCGCCAGCUCCCUGUGCCAGUCAGACUGCAUUUCACUUCAUUCUGCAGAGACCUGGCUGCAGCCCUGGACUCCUUAGCAAGAUGA